UACAGGGGGGGCAAGCGUUGUUCGGAAUUACUGGGCGUAAAGGGCUCGUAGGUGGCCGACUAAGUCAGACGUGAAAUCCCUCAGCUUAACUGGGGGACUGCGUCUGAUACUGGAUGGCUUGAGUUUGGGAGAGGGAUGCGGAAUUCCAGGUGUAGCGGUGAAAUGCGUAGAUAUCUGGAGGAACACCGGUGGCGAAGGCGGCAUCCUGGACCAACACUGACACUGAGGAGCGAAAGCCAGGGAGCAA
rnacentral:rRNA from 1 species